rnacentral:rRNA from 1 species
CACGUAGGGCGCAAGCGUUGUCCGGAAUUAUUGGGCGUAAAGAGCUCGUAGGCGGCCUGUUGCGUCCGCUGUGAAAGCCCGGGGCUUAACCCCGGGUCUGCAGUGGAUACGGGCAGGCUAGAGUUCGGUAGGGGAGACUGGAAUUCCUGGUGUAGCGGUGAAAUGCGCAGAUAUCAGGAGGAACACCGGUGGCGAAGGCGGGUCUCUGGGCCGAUACUGACGCUGAGGAGCGAAAGCGUGGGGAGCGAACAGG